UUCAGAAAUCCUACAACCAGAAACACUAGUAAAGGUCAUGAAAAAGCUAACCCUGAACCCCAGUGCCAAGCCGACAAAAUAUCAUCGUCGUCAAAGGGUUCGUCUCCAGGUUAAGAGCCAGCCUGUGGAGAACAGAAGUGAAAGAAUCAUGAGGGAAGUUCAAAGCGCCUUUCCCAGGAGAAGGGUCCGCACUCUGUUGUCCGUGCUGAAAGACCCCAUAGCAAGGAUGAGAAGAUUUGUUCGGAUUGAGCAGAGACAAAGACAGCUUGAAGGAAAUGAGAGACGAGAUGAGCCAUUCAGAUGUCUCUGCACUUUCUGCCAUUAUCAGAGAUGGGAUCCUUCUGAGAAUGCUAAAAUCGGGCAGAACCAGAAGAAUUAGGGCAGUUUGAAUUGUACACCGUCCUUGCCGUUAACGGUGCCAUGCAGCAGAUGUGAAAGCUGUUUUUUUGUUUAAGAUUAAACUUUUCUUGGUGCUGGGGAAAUCUCUUCUAAUUGCUAACCUUUAAAUUAUAUAGGAUGUGUGACAUUUGGAUUCAUGGGAAUGACAGAUUUACCCAAGAAUUGAGCAUGAGUCAAAGCCUGGUAGUUUGAUUUAGAAGGUAAUUGGAAUAAAUCUUUUUAUUUU
rnacentral:lncRNA from 1 species